rnacentral:rRNA from 1 species
CUAAAAUCAGAUGAUGCAGCGGCUCGACAUCGAGACAGUUGUUAAAUCUUCGGAGCCUAAAGAUGAGCCUGCGUCUGAUUAGGUAGUUGGCGGUGUAAUGGACCACCAAGCUGCGAUCAGUAGCUGGUCUGAGAGGAUGAUCAGCCACACUGGAACUGAGACACGGUCCAGGACUCCUACGGGAGGCAGCAGUAGGAAUAUUGCUCAAUGGCCGAAAGGCUGAAGCAGCAACGCCGCGUGGAGGAUGAAAUACUUUUGUAUGUAAACUCCUGUAAGAAGGGAAAAAUGUUCCGAUUCAUCGGAAUUGAUUGUACCUUCAGAGUAAGCCCCGGCUAACUACGUG